rnacentral:rRNA from 1 species
UGGGGAAUUUUGGACAAUGGGGGAAACCCUGAUCCAGCCAUCCCGCGUGUGCGAUGAAGGCCUUCGGGUUGUAAAGCACUUUUGGCAGGAAAGAAACGUCAUGGGUUAAUACCCCGUGAAACUGACGGUACCUGCAGCAUAAGCACCGGCUAACUACGUGCCAGCAGCCGCGGUAAUACGUAGGGUGCAAGCGUUAAUCGGAAUUACUGGGCGUAAAGCGUGCGCAGGCGGUUCGGAAAGAAAGAUGUGAAAUCCCAGAGCUCAACUUUGGAACUGCAUUUUUAACUACCGGGCUAGAGUGUGUCAGAGGGAGGUGGAAUUCCGCGUGUAGCAGUGAAAUGCGUAGAUAUGCGGAGGAACACCGAUGGCGAAGGCAGCCUCCUGGGAUAACACUGACGCUCAUGCACGAAAGCGUGGGGAGCAAACAGG